rnacentral:snRNA from 1 species
AUUCUUUUGCAGUGGGCGAUAUCAUAGCCUAUUGAAAGUCCCAUCUCAGCGGCGUGAUUAUUGCUGGUUGAAAACUUAUCCCAAAACCCUGCUUGGAAUGACUUGAAAUAUAGUCAGAAGUAGUCUUGGGGAGAAUAGACUC